rnacentral:rRNA from 1 species
UACGUAGGGGGCUAGCGUUGUCCGGAAUCAUUGGGCGUAAAGCGCGUGUAGGCGGUUCGGUAAGUCUGCUGUGAAAGUCGGGGGCUCAACCCUCGAAUGCCGGUGGAUACUGUCGGGCUAGAGUGCGGAAGAGGCGAGUGGAAUUCCUGGUGUAGCGGUGAAAUGCGCAGAUAUCAGGAGGAACACCAAUUGCGAAGGCAGCUCGCUGGGACGUGACUGACGCUGAGACGCGAAAGCGUGGGGAGCAAACAGG